UGCUUCUCUGAUGUUAGCGGCGGACGGGUGAGUAACACGUGGAUAACCUACCUAUAAGACUGGGAUAACUUCGGGAAACCGGAGCUAAUACCGGAUAAUAUUUUGAACCGCAUGGUUCAAAAGUGAAAGACGGUCUUGCUGUCACUUAUAGAUGGAUCCGCGCUGCAUUAGCUAGUUGGUAAGGUAACGGCUUACCAAGGCAACGAUGCAUAGCCGACCUGAGAGGGUGAUCGGCCACACUGGAACUGAGACACGGUCCAGACUCCUACGGGAGGCAGCAGUAGGGAAUCUUCCGCAAUGGGCGAAAGCCUGACGGAGCAACGCCGCGUGAGUGAUGAAGGUCUUCGGAUCGUAAAACUCUGUUAUUAGGGAAGAACAUAUGUGUAAGUAACUGUGCACAUCUUGACGGUACCUAAUCAGAAAGCCACGGCUAACUACGUGCCAGCAGCCGCGGUAAUACGUAGGUGGCAAGCGUUAUCCGGAAUUAUUGGGCGUAAAGCGCGCGUAGGCGGUUUUUUAAGUCUGAUGUGAAAGCCCACGGCUCAACCGUGGAGGGUCAUUGGAAACUGGAAAACUUGAGUGCAGAAGAGGAAAGUGGAAUUCCAUGUGUAGCGGUGAAAUGCGCAGAGAUAUGGAGGAACACCAGUGGCGAAGGCGACUUUCUGGUCUGUAACUGACGCUGAUGUGCGAAAGCGUGGGGAUCAAACAGGAUUAGAUACCCUGGUAGUCCACGCCGUAAACGAUGAGUGCUAAGUGUUAGGGGGGUUUCCGCCCCUUAGUGCUGCAGCUAACGCAUUAAGCACUCCGCCUGGGGAGUACGACCGCAAGGUUGAAACUCAAAGGAAUUGA
rnacentral:rRNA from 1 species